rnacentral:rRNA from 1 species
GGUUCAUUCAAAUUUCUGCCCUAUCAACUUUCGACGGCUGGGUCUUAGCCAGCCAUGGUGACAACGGGUAACGGAGGGUUAGGGCUCGACCCCGGAGAAGGAGCCUGAGAAACGGCUACUACAUCCAAGGAAGGCAGCAGGCGCGCAAAUUACCCAAUCCCGACCGGGGAGGUAGUGACAAUAAAUACUGAUACAGGGCUCUUUUGGGUCUUGUAAUUGGAAUGAGUACAAUUUAAAUCCCUUAACGAGGAACAAUUGGAGGGCAAGUCUGGUGCCAGCAGCCGCGGUAAUUCCAGCUCCAAUAGCGUAUAUUAAAGUUGUUGCAGUUAAAAAGCUCGUAGUUG